rnacentral:rRNA from 1 species
AGUGGCGGACGGGUGAGGAAUACAUCGGAAUCUGCCCGGUUGUGGGGGAUAACGUAGGGAAACUUACGCUAAUACCGCAUACGACCGAGAGGUGAAAGCGGGGGAUCGAAAGACCUCGCGCAGUCGGAUGAGCCGAUGUCGGAUUAGCUAGUUGGCGGGGUAAAGGCCCACCAAGGCGACGAUCCGUAGCUGGUCUGAGAGGAUGAUCAGCCACACUGGGACUGAGACACGGCCCAGACUCCUACGGGAGGCAGCAGUGGGGAAUAUUGGACAAUGGGGGCAACCCUGAUCCAGCAAUGCCGCGUGUGUGAAGAAGGCCUUCGGGUUGUAAGGCACUUUUAUCUGGAACGAAACACGCAGGGUGAAUAUCCCUGUGGACUGACGGUACCAGAGGAAUAAGCACCGGCUAACUUCGUGCCAGCAGCCGCGGUAAUACGAAGGGUGCAAGCGUUACUCGGAAUUACUGGGCGUAAAGCGUGCGUAGGUGGUUUCUUAAGUCUGCUGUGAAAGCCCCGGGCUCAACCUGGGAAUUGCAGUGGA